rnacentral:rRNA from 2 species
CUGGAGGUAUCAGAAGUGCGAAUGCUGACAUAAGUAACGAUAAAGCGGGUGAAAAGCCCGCUCGCCGGAAGACCAAGGGUUCCUGUCCAACGUUAAUCGGGGCAGGGUGAGUCGACCCCUAAGGCGAGGCCGAAAGGCGUAGUCGAUGGGAAACGGGUUAAUAUUCCCGUACUUGGUGUUACUGCGAAGGGGGGACGGAGAAGGCUAUGUUGGCCGGGCGACGGUUGUCCCGGUUUAAGCGUGUAGGUGUGUGUUCCAGGUAAAUCCGGUUCACUUUAACACUGAGGCGUGAUGACGAGGCACUACGGUGCUGAAGCAACAAAUGCCCUGCUUCCAGGAAAAGCCUCUAAGCAUCAGGUAACAUCAAAUCGUACCCCAAACCGACACAGGUGGUCAGGUAGAGAAUACCAAGGCGCUUGAGAGAACUCGGGUGAAGGAACUAGGCAAAAUGGUGCCGUAACUUCGGGAGAAGGCACGCUGACACGUAGGUGAAGUGAUUUACUCAUGGAGCUGAAGUCAGUCGAAGAUACCAGCUGGCUGCAACUGUUUAUUAAAAACACAGCACUGUGCAAACACGAAAGUGGACGUAUACGGUGUGACGCCUGCCCGGUGCCGGAAGGUUAAUUGAUGGGGUCAGCGCAAGCGAAGCUCCUGAUCGAAGCCCCGGUAAACGGCGGCCGUAACUAUAACGGUCCUAAGGUAGCGAAAUUCCUUGUCGGGUAAGUUCCGACCUGCACGAAUGGCGUAAUGAUGGCCAGGCUGUCUCCACCCGAGACUCAGUGAAAUUGAACUCGCUGUGAAGAUGCAGUGUACCCGCGGCAAGACGGAAAGACCCCGUGAACCUUUACUAUAGCUUGACACUGAACAUUGAGCCUUGAUGUGUAGGAUAGGUGGGAGGCUUUGAAGUGUGGACGCCAGUCUGCAUGGAGCCGGCCUUGAAAUACCACCCUUUAAUGUUUGAUGUUCUAACGUGGACCCGUGAUCCGGGUUGCGGACAGUGUCUGGUGGGUAGUUUGACUGGGGCGGUCUCCUCCUAAAGAGUAACGGAGGAGCACGAAGGUUGGCUAAUCCUGGUCGGACAUCAGGAGGUUAGUGCAAUGGCAUAAGCCAGCUUGACUGCGAGCGUGACGGCGCGAGCAGGUGCGAAAGCAGGUCAUAGUGAUCCGGUGGUUCUGAAUGGAAGGGCCAUCGCUCAACGGAUAAAAGGUACUCCGGGGAUAACAGGCUGAUACCGCCCAAGAGUUCAUAUCGACGGCGGUGUUUGGCACCUCGAUGUCGGCUCAUCACAUCCUGGGGCUGAAGUAGGUCCCAAGGGUAUGGCUGUUCGCCAUUUAAAGUGGUACGCGAGCUGGGUUUAGAACGUCGUGAGACAGUUCGGUCCCUAUCUGCCGUGGGCGCUGGAGAACUGAGGGGGGCUGCUCCUAGUACGAGAGGACCGGAGUGGACGCAUCACUGGUGUUCGGGUUGUCAUGCCAAUGGCACUGCCCGGUAGCUAAAUGCGGAAGAGAUAAGUGCUGAAAGCAUCUAAGCACGAAACUUGCCCCGAGAUGAGUUCUCCCUGAGACUUUAGGUCUCCUGAAGGAACGUUGAAGACGACGACGUUGAUAGGCCGGGUGUGUAAGCGCAGCGAUGCGUUGAGCUAACCGGUACUAAUGAACCGUGAGGCUUAACCUU